rnacentral:rRNA from 1 species
UACGAAGGGGGCUAGCGUUGCUCGGAAUCACUGGGCGUAAAGCGCACGUAGGCGGAUUGUUAAGUCAGGGGUGAAAUCCUGGAGCUCAACUCCAGAACUGCCUUUGAUACUGGCGAUCUUGAGUCCGGGAGAGGUGAGUGGAACUGCGAGUGUAGAGGUGAAAUUCGUAGAUAUUCGCAAGAACACCAGUGGCGAAGGCGGCCCACUGGCCCGGUACUGACGCUGAGGUGCGAAAGCGUGGGGAGCAAACAGG